rnacentral:rRNA from 1 species
AUGGAUGUUUUCCGACUGGAGUCUCAUGUUGCAGCUGUCGUGGACUAUCUCGCAAGGCUGAAGGCCGCCACAUCUCGCAUCGACUCGACGCUCUGGCCUGAGGAGACACUUCAGAAUGACCUUGAGUCGCUGAUGGCCCGCUUGAACACGAUCCCUGGUCGAGUGCAGGAGUGGAAGAAGUCCUCGGCUCGGUGUGGUGCAGAUGUCGCUCUGUGUCUGGCCCGAGUCCACUGCAAAGAUGCGCGAGAGGAGAAGCUGGCGGCCCUUCGGGUGGCCAAUACCAAGAAGCACGACUUCAGGUCCUUUAUGGAGACUUUCCUUGCAGCUGCCACUCGGAUCGCCGACGGAAUCGACCUUGAUGAAUUUGUUGCACCUUCCAGCCCUCCACAGGAGGGGUAA